UACAGAGGUCUCAAGCGUUGUUCGGAUUCAUUGGGCGUAAAGGGUGCGUAGGCGGCGCGGUAAGUCGGGUGUGAAAUCUCGGAGCUUAACUCCGAAACUGCAUUCGAUACUGCCGUGCUUGAGGACUGGAGAGGAGACUGGAAUUUACGGUGUAGCGGUGAAAUGCGUAGAUAUCGUAAGGAAGACCAGUGGCGAAAGCGGCUCUCUGGACCACAACGGACGCUGAGGCGCGAAAGCUAGGGGAGCAAACAGG
rnacentral:rRNA from 1 species